ensembl:misc_RNA Y_RNA Y RNA
GGCUGGUCUGAAGGCAGUGAGUUAUCUCAACUGAUUGCUCACAGUCCGUUACAGAUCGAAAUGCUUGUUCUACUCUUUCCCCCUUCUCACUACUGUACUUGAAUAGCCUUAU